AUGAUCGUCACCCUGUGGGCUAUCUGGAGCGCACGUCGGAAGGCCAUACAUGAAGAGAUCUUCCAAACCCCUUUUGCCACCGACAAUUUCAUCAAGUCUUACUUGUCGGACAUAGAAUUCUUGAAGAAGAAGGAAAGAACAUCUGUGACAGCAAUACCGCGGCCGAGGACGUGGGUGCCGCCACCUUUUGACCACUUCAAGUUUAAUGCGGACGCUGCCGUGUCUCGCUCGGGCAUUUUUGGCGCAGUUGGAGUGGUUUGCAGAGAUGCAGGGGGGCUAUUCAUGGGAGCUUCAACACUAGUUCUGAGGGGCCUCCGUGACCCUCAGGUGCUCGAAGCACUAGCUAUACGGGAGGUUGCACUUUCAGAGGAUCUCUAUCUCAACCAAAUUUUGGUGGCCUCGGAUUGUUAGGUGGUGGUAGAUGCGAUCAGGGAAGGAAGCUCAGCAAAUUUUGGUGCCAUUGUUCAGAAGAUCAAGGCUCGAGCAACUACCUUUAUUUCAUGCUCUUUUAGUCAUGAGUAUAGGACCUCCAAUACGGAGGCCCAUAAUCUCGCAAAGUAUGCUUUAUCUUUAGGGUUUGGCCGUCACACCUGGCUAGGCCAGCCCGGCGAUCUUGUCUUUGUACCUUUGAACAUUUUGAUGCAGUAA
rnacentral:rRNA from 1 species